AGGGGUAUAGUUCAAAGGCUAGAACAGCGGUCUCCAAAACCGCCGAUGUGGGUUCGAGUCCUACUACCCCUGCCA
rnacentral:tRNA from 1 species